GCCCGCCGCCGGCCAGCAUCUCCCCCGGACCUCCCCGACCUGCUGCUCCCAUCACCGGCCGGAGCGCCCGCGGCCCGAUCGCCGGCGGCCAUCCCUAGCUCCCACAGCCCCGGUGAGUAGUUUAUUUUGGUUCCAGCACUGCUGUUUUGCGUUCCGGUCACUUUUUCGGUGAUCCGAUGACUCCCUGGCACCUCGGGAGGUGAGCACGGUGAUCGUGGGCUCGUGCUGAACACGAUGCUCACCUCCACUUAGGUUAACGGUGCCCUGGUUAGUGAGAAAAGGCUGUUUUCCACAGUAUGCGCACUGAUUCGCUGAGGUUCGCGUCGCUCGUGCGCGCGUGGUUGCUGCCGGCAGUGCUCCGAAAGGUGAGCACGGCCUCAGGCAUGCUGAAACCUUGCAGCAAGUGCGAUGGCAACCUCCAUAGAUCCCUGGUUUGCUGGUACGACCCGUUAGAGCCA
rnacentral:lncRNA from 1 species